rnacentral:rRNA from 1 species
ACCUGACUGCUAUCGGAUUGGUACUAAGCCAUGUGAGUCAUUGUAGCAAUACAAGGCAUACGGCUCAGUAACACGUAGUCAAUCUGCCCUAUGGACGUGGAUAACCUCGGGAAACUGAGAAUAAUCCGCGAUAGAUCAUAAUGCCUGGAACGGUUUAUGGUCCAAAUGAUUCGUCGCCAUAGGAUGGGACUGCGGCCUAUCAGCUUGUUGGUGAGGUAAUGGCCCACCAAGGCUAUUACAGGUACGGGCUCUGAGAGGAGAAGCCCGGAGAUGGGUACUGAGACACGGACCCAGGCCCUAUGGGGCGCAGCAGGCGAGAAACCUUUGCAAUGUGCGCAAGCACGACAAGGUUAAUCCGAGUGUUUCCUGCUAAAGGAAUCUUUUGUUAGUUCUAAAACCACUGAUGAAUAAGGGGUGGGCAAGUUCUGGUGUCAGCCGCCGCGGUAAAACCAGCACCUCAAGUGGUCAGGAGGAUUAUUGGGCCUAAAGCAUCCGUAGCCGGUUCUGUAAGUUUCCGGUUAAAUCCACUAGCUCAACUAAUGGGCUGCCGGAAAUACUGCAGAACUAGGGAGUGGGAGAGGUAGACGGUACUCGGGAGGAAGGGGUAAAAUCCUUUGAUCUCUUGAUGACCACCUGUGGCGAAGGCGGUCUACCAGAACACGUUCGACGGUGAGGGAUGAAAGCUGGGGGAGCAAACCGGAUUAGAUACCCGGGUAGUCCCAGCUGUAAACGAUGCAGACUCGGUGAUGCACUGGCUUUUGGCCAGUGCAGUGCCGCAGGGAAGCCGUUAAGUUUGCCGCCUGGGAAGUACGUACGCAAGUAUGAAACUUAAAGGAAUUGGCGGGGGAGCACCACAAGGGGUGAAGCCUGCGGUUCAAUUGGAUCAACGCC